AUUGGUGUGGAGUACGUUGAGAAGCAGAAAAAUUACUCAACAUAUCAGCCAAAGACCUUUUGAAUAAAUCUUUAGAGGAGCCCGAUGAAGUCAUCCUUCCUGUGCAAAUAGAAAAUCUGAAAGGAAAACAAUUUGUUUUCCAAAUACAACUAAAUAACUAUAAUCUCAA